UCUUAAGGAUAAACAAAGAAAGUGGUUUCUUGAAAUGGAAUCUACUCCUGGUGAAGAUGCUGCGAA
rnacentral:pre_miRNA from 1 species